AUUGAACGCUGGCGGCAGGACUAACACAUGCAAGUCGAGCGAGCGGCGGACGGGUGAGUAAUGUAUGGGGACUGCCCGAUAGAGGGGGAUAACUACUGGAAACGGUGGCUAAUAACGAAUACUAUCGGAUAACCCAUAUGGGAUUAGCUAGUAGGUGGGGUAAAGGCUCACAUAGGCGACGAUCUCUAGCGGGUCUGAGAGGCUGACCAGCCAAACUGGGACUGAGAAACGGCCCUGACUCCUACGGAGGCAGCAGUGGGGAAGAUUGCACAAUGGGCGCAAGCCUGAUGCAGCCAUGCCGCUUGUAUGAAGAAGGCCUUAGGGUUGUAAAGUACUUUCAGCGGGGAGGCGUUACCCGCAGAAGAAGCACCGGCUAACUCCGUGCCAGCAGCCGCGGUAAUAC
rnacentral:rRNA from 1 species